UUUUUUAGAAACUGUCACAGCUUAUUUUGACUUUUUGUCCAUACUAAGAAAGUAAAUUUAAUCACUGAGUCGAUCAAAUUCCCUUUAAUGAAUUUAGUAAGCGUUAAAGAGGGACUGCUUUAUUGAAUGCAGUAGUUAUUCACUUAUUCUCCACAUUUUUAUCUAUGGCUAAAACCGCAAAAACUAAUAAUUAUAGAAAAGCAGAUUCCUGUGUAAACAUUUUGAACUACAACAAACAUUUAUAAACGAUGAAGAUUUACAUAAAGUAAUAUGAGCAUUUGGUCUAAGAGUAUGAUUCUCGCUUUAGGUGCAAAAAGUCCUGUGUAAACAUUUUGAACUACAAUAACUAUUUAAGCCACUACAUAGUCCUUUUACAUAUUUAGAAUAAAUUUUCCUCCUGAGUCAGGUAAAACAUUAUAGGCAGCAUCUACUUGCAAUCUGACAAGAUUAUGUACCUGUAUCUUUUACAAUAUUGCAGCCUUAUCAUCUUAAAUUAUGACAAACCCAAGAAAGUUGUCGCAUACACUUAAGUUUGAUGGUGAAAACAAAAUUAUUAUCCGAUUUGCAUCGAAUAGGCAUUAAAAUCAGUAGUUUAAAUUACAGCUGUUUUUAGGAAUGAAUAGAACAGUCUGAAUCAUACAACCUUUAUAUCGCUUCAUCGCGUUUACUUACAUGGUUGCAUAAAUCGCUAGCUAGGGCACCAACUAGUUAUCAUUCAGGAUUAAUAGGGCUUAAUUGGAUUAGAAAUUUUACAUGUUAUUUUUCAAUCUUGUAUAUAUAUACACACACACAAAGCUUUUCAAAAUUUUAUAUGUACUUUUUCAAGCUUAUUAGUUGAAUUGGAUUAAUAAGUAAAAAUUUUCAAAUACUUCAAAAAUUUGACCCAUUUUGACUGCCUUUGGCCGAUUACAGAUUUUAGGUCAGCCAUAGAUCACCGAUUAAUCGUCAACUAAUCCUGAUUUUACUUAUCACGUCAUGAAGUUAAUAGUUCUAGAGGAUGCAUAUAUACAUAGCAACUGAUUUCACAAAUCCUAACUUAGUUUGUGCUGCUGCUAAAUAUAAACAAUGAUGAAUAAUAUAAGAAAAUACACUCUAGAGAAUGAAUAUACCUAAUUUUGCUGUGUACGAAUCCACAUAAUACCUAAAUUUGCAACUAAUGCAUUAUUUAUCAAACACAACGUUAAACAUAACCUAAUAAUAUUUGAAAAUUGAAAAUAACUAGUUAACUUUUAGCAGAAAAUUGAGGCAUUAAAGAUGAAGAUGAAGUGAUUCUAACCUUUUACGUCGAUUGCUAUGCGAUUGUAGCCGGAGGAUAUCUGCAGAUAGCUCGUUUUGUUGU
rnacentral:lncRNA from 1 species